rnacentral:rRNA from 1 species
AUACGGAGGGUGCAAGCGUUAUCCGGAAUCAUUGGGUUUAAAGGGUCCGCAGGCGGAUUAAUAAGUCAGUGGUGAAAUCCUCUCGCUCAACGAGAGAACUGCCAUUGAAACUGUUAGUCUUGAAUUCGGUCGAAGUAGGCGGAAUGUGUCAUGUAGCGGUGAAAUGCAUAGAUAUGACACAGAACACCGAUAGCGAAGGCAGCUUACUAGACCUGGAUUGACGCUCAUGGACGAAAGCGUGGGGAGCGAACAGGAUUAGAAACCCGAGUAGUCC